UUUUCUUGUUUUAUACUAAAAUUUUAGUUAACAGUGAUUUACAACAAUAUUAUAUUACUAAUUAUGAAAUUAAUUAAUGUUUUACUUUAUAAAAAUAGUUAGAUUCUUUCCCAAGAGUUUUGUUAUAAUUAAAGAGAAUUUGUACUCCCUACACACAAAAUCUACCCUAUUUGCACUCCAUACUUUAUUUCCCCUAAAUUUUCUUCACCCCAUCAUUACCAUUUUUUCCCCAUUCUAU
rnacentral:lncRNA from 1 species